GGAAGCCAACAGGGCUCUGUUAUUUCCGCGAGCAGCGUCACUUGCCUCCUCUAUUCUCCUCCUGGGCCGUCGUCGUGCCGCCGGCGCCACCGCUCCGUCGAGAAAUCCUGCUUCCCUCUACGCCCUAGACCCGCCAUCGCCACCAUCUCCCAAUCCUACUCCGAAUUGAUUUGGGCCGGAUCUAACUCGGGAACGGGACGAUCGCCGUAGUUUCCAAACCCUUCUCUACCUCUCGGUGGAUCUCGCUGUCCCGCCACCAUUUUUAGCUCCCAUCGAUCUCGAGCUCGCUCGCUCGGUCGAUCGAUCUCGGAAUUCUUUCCGUCUUCUAGAUAAGCUCGCUGGCCAACGACUAGAUCUUGAGGCUGGUCAACAUGAUGAGCUCCGGACGGAGUAAAGGGAUUUUUGAUGGGCUGCCCAUUCCUGCUGACAAGUCUUAUUUGAGAGAAGGACUUUCUCGAAUAGAUGAAGGUUGGGCAGCUGCACGUUUUGAUUCUCUGCCUCAUGUUGUGCACAUUUUGACGUCGAAGGAUCGUGAAGGUGAAAUGCAGUUCUUGAAGGAACAAAGCGAUCUCAUCGAGGAUAUUGUUGACGAAGUUGUACAUUCAUAUCAUCAUGGUUUCAAUAAAGCAAUUCAAAACUACUCCCAUAUCCUGCGGUUGUUUAGCGAAUCCGCUGAAAGCAUUUCUGUGCUAAAGGUUGAUAUGGCAGAGGCAAAGAAACUUCUAGGUUCUCGAAACAAGCAGCUGCAUCAAUUGUGGUAUCGAUCUCUUACACUACGUCACAUUCUAUCUCUGCUGGAUCAAGUUGAGGGUGUAGCCAAGGUUCCUGCUCGCAUCGAGAAGCUGAUCAUAGAAAAGCAGUUAUAUGCUGCAGUUCAGUUGCUUGUCCAGUCAACAUUGAUGCUAGAGAGAGAGGGCCUUCAAGUGGUUGGCGCUCUUCAAGAUGUUCGAUCUGAAUUAACAAAGUUGCGUGGGGUUUUGUUCUAUAAAGUUCUUGAAGAUUUACACAAUCAUCUUUACAAUAAGGGUGAAUUCAGCUCAACUACAUUGAGCAUACCUGAGAGAGAUGAUGAAAUACCAACUACCACUGCCAUUGGGCUCUCAGUAAGCAGUUCACAGCCUCUAUCUAGGAGAACCAGGUCAUUGAAAGGCGACAAUCACAUUGGUGGACCUGAUGGAUCUUUUAGGCCAGGGUCUGUUGAUGGCAGGCUUGACUAUUUUGAACAUGGUCUGCCACACCGCCUGGUAGGGCGUACCAUACCAUACUGCCUUGCUGUUUCGCACCAUACUGACACUCGCUCUUCAUUUGAUGGUCAUGAUGAUGAGAGCACUAUGGAGGUACUUGAUGGUGGUGCCUCUGAUGGUGUUCUUCAAUCCUUGAAGGCCCACGCUGGUGAUGGACAUGUUAAGACUAUUUCUCGACAAAUUCCAACAUGGCUUUCAUAUGCCACACCAGAUGAAUUUCUUGAAUCAAUGAAAAAGAGCAAUUCCCCUACCCAUGUGAAAUAUUUACAUACAUUAGUAGAGUGCCUGUGUAUGCUUGGCAAAGUUGCAGCUGCUGGUGCUAUGAUAUGUCAAAGACUGCGAUCUACCAUUCAUGAUGUGAUUACUUCAAAAAUAAAAGAACAUGCAGCACUAAAUUCAUCGAGGUCAUGCAUGAGUCAGGUUACCCGAACAGCUACUUCUGACUUGUAUUAUUCGAAAGGAUUGUUAGAUAGCUACCAGGUGCUGAAACAGAAGCAUAGGAAUGGGACGUCUUCUGUGGGGACACAAGUGGCUAUUAGUCCAGUCUCUUCAGCGAUGACACCUAUGGGCACGGCACAGUCAGCAACCAGCGAACUUCUUAGCUUGAUAUUAGAUUCUGUCAUUCGUAUACUUGAGAACCAUAUUAUUGUUGGCGAGCUUCUGGAAUCAAAAUCAUCUCAACAAGGUGACAGUAUAAACACACCUAAAUCCAUAAGUGGUGACCCAAGCUGGAACCCAGACUCUGAAUCUUCUCAAGUUACUGGAGGCUUUAGUGUGGGUUUUUCCUUGACAGUCAUACAGAGCGAAUGCCAACAACUCAUAUGUGAAGUUUUAAGAGCAACUCCGGAAGCUGCGACUGCAGAUGCUGCUGUUCAAACAGCUAGACUUGCAAACAAGGCCCCUGUAAAGGAAAAAAGGGAUGGAUCUGAAGGCCUUUCUUUUGCCUUUCGAUUUACAGAUGCAGCUGUAUCAAUGCCUAACCAAGGUGUUGGUCAAGGAUGGCGGAGGGUUUCAAAUGUGCAACAAGAAGGAUAUGGAACUGCAGCUGUUCUUCCUGAUCAGGGAAUUUAUCUGGCAGCAUCAGUUUAUCGCCCAGUUCUCCAGUUUACUGACAAAAUUGCAUCGAUGCUGCCCAAUAAGUAUUCACAACUUGGGAAUGAUGGUCUGUUAGCAUUUGUAGAGAACUUUUUGAAGGAUCAUUUUUUGCCAGCAAUGUUUGUCGAUUACCGAAAAUGUGUCCAACAGGCUAUAUCAAGUCCAGCAGCAUUCAGGCCACGAGCACAUGCUGCUUCAGUGUAUAGCCCACUAGUUGAGAAGGGCCGUCCUGUAUUGCAAGGCCUUGUAGCUACUGAUUUCUUAGCAAAAGAGGUGCUUGGCUGGGCACAUUUAAUGCCAAAAUAUGCAGGGGAACUGGUUGAAUAUGUGCAAACGUUCCUAGAACGAGCCCAUGAAAGAUGUCGAACUGCAUACAUGGAGGCUGUUUUAGAAAAGCAGAGCUAUAUGCUAAUUGGGAGGAAUGAUGUCGAGAGCUUGAUGCGACUUGACCCAGCCAAUGCUUAUUUACGAAAAUCCUCGGGGCAACCUUUUCUUGAAAACAAUGUUCCGGAUGCAGAAACUGUUGAAGUGGAGAUAGAAAUGAGUGAUUUAUUAUUGAGCUUGCGUCCAAUCAAGCAGGAAAACUUAAUCCGUGAUGAUCAUAAACUUAUUCUGUUGGCAUCUCUUAGUGAUUCUUUGGAAUGUCUAGCAGAUUCCAUCGAAAGGCUUGGAGAGUCUUUUGUAGGAGUGCCCACUGAUACGGAUGAGAAGGUCCAUACUAAGCCAGCUAAUCGCCGUGAACGGACUACAAGUGCAAUUCCUAAAAACCUUGCAUCUAUUGCUGAUGAGUAUAAGAGACUGGCAAUUGAUUGUCUCAAGGUUCUACGAUUGGAAAUGCAAUUAGAAACAAUUUUUCACAUGCAGGAAAUGUCCAAUCGGGAGUAUGUGGAAGAUCAAGAUGCAGAAGAACCUGAUGAUUUUAUAAUUUCACUUACAGCACAGAUUACUCGUUGGGAUGAGGAAAUAGCACCAUUUGUUGAAGAGUCAAAGAGGAAUUAUAUAUUUGGCGGAAUAUGUAGUGUUGCAGCAAGUGCAUCUGUCAAGGCGCUAGCUGAAAUGAAAUCCAUUAACCUGUUGGGAGUCCAGCAGAUAUGCAGAAAUUCCAUUGCAUUGGAACAGGCUCUGGCAGCCAUACCUCCAAUAGACAAUGAAGCAGUCCAGCAGAGACUAGAUCGUGUCCGGACAUACUAUGAACUUUUAAAUCUGCCAUUCGAGGCCUUGCUUGCAUUUAUUACAGAACAUGAGUACCUCUUUACAGCGAAAGAGUAUUCCAGCCUUCUAAAGAUCAGUGUCCCAGGCAGAGAAAUUCCAGCUGAUGCAGAGCAGCGGCUCUCCGAAAUCUUGAGUCAAUAGUCUUGCUGACAGAAUUGAAGCCGUAUUUGUCAUUUCAUAAGCGUGCAUGAGCUAUGGAUGUGAUACAGAUCUAUGUGAUGAUAACAAUAUGACAAGCACCUGUCAUGCGUAAGGAGCAGCAUCUGUGCAGACCAUUUGGACUACAAGCCAAUAGCUACGUAUCUGAAAAUUUUAAAAUUUUGCUGCAUCUUGUAGUCCAUUUUGGUUCUAUUCUCUCAAGUAUUGAUAUAAGUUUUCGGUGGGUUUUUUUGUUGGUAACAAGGGGGAACAGUAUAUGAUGAAUGGCCCUCUAGCAUGAUUUGGAUGGGCUUUUGAGUGCCUAAGAAUUUCAUGUUGAGGAUUAAGAAAUGUGUCGAGUGGAAUGAGUUACCAUGUUUAUAAGAUGUGUUCCUUAAUU